GGAAAUUUCAUAUUUAUUCAUCUUAAGGCAAGUGUUUCCUUCAAUAGAAUUUAAGCUCCCUGCGGGCAGGAAUGAUUUCGAUUCCACUUUGUAUCUCCAGGGGCUGCAUUUCUCUGCUGGUCUGUCCUUUCACUGAUGUUGGGGACUCGAAGUGAAGCCUCUCCACCAAGGACGCUGCUAUUUCUGGCCUUAACGAUUUGCCUCGAGCCCUAAGAAGUUGAGAGAUUACUCAGUCAGAAGGAGUCUGAGAGUUACCAUUGGGAAAACAGCCCACUGGGAAAAGAUGCUCUAGCUACACUCGGAUGGUUCACCUUGACGCACACUCAAUGGAUUCUGAGAACUUGUCUGCUUUUCCAGCUGGUCACAUGACUGAAGCUAUUUGAUCACCUGACACAAUUUCUGAGCUGAAAUGAAAUAAUUCUACCUCAUGGCAAUGAUACUGAUUGUCCUUGACCAAAUUUGGGAAGAGGAACUUAGUGAGAGUGUGGGAGGCCCCUUUAUCCUCCCUGCUGCCCCUCAAUGAUUCUUUCCCACUCCUGUUUUGAUCCCAUUUGAUGGAGCCAGAAGAGAAGAGAGAAAUUGGCAAUUCCCUGGAUGGAGUGAUGGGAAAUUUGGAGGUGAUUGGAUGAUUUAUGGGGGCAUCAAUGUGUGCACCAUUACUGUUAGGGCUACAUCAGUACCUCCAUUGAAAACCCUUAUUUUCAUAUAACAGAGCCAUAAAAAAAUUACUCCAGAUUGAAACUUGGCAUGUUGGCUCAGAGUAGGACCAUUUUAAAAAAUUCAAUAAAAUAAUAAAUGUACUCUCUGCCCCA
rnacentral:lncRNA from 1 species